GGGCCCGCACAAGCGGUGGAGCAUGUGGUUUAAUUCGAUGAUACGCGAGGAACCUUACCAGGACUUAAAUGUAAGUUGCAUGAUUCAGAAAUGAAUCUUUCUUCGGACUACUUACAAGGUGCUGCAUGGUUGUCGUCAGCUCGUGCCGUGAGGUGUCAGGUUAAGUCCUAUAACGAGCGCAACCCCUAUCGUUAGUUGCCAUCAAGUAAAGUUGGGAACUCUAGCGAAACUGCCGGUGUAAACCGAGAGGAAGGUGGGGAUGACGUCAAAUCAUCACGGCCCUUACGUUCUGGGCUACACACGUGCUACAAUGGUCGGUACAGAAAGCAGCCACUAUGCGAAUAGGAGCUAAUCUUUAAAAACCCGAUCUCAGUUCGGAUCGCAGUCUGCAACUCGACUGCGUG
rnacentral:rRNA from 1 species